UGGUAUAAAUCCCUCUCUGGGGGCAACGAGAAACUCAAUGCCUGUCACCGGUUCUGCAGCGGGAGCGGCUACGGGACGAGGAGACUUCCACCCAACCCUGACGGGUACCAGCAACAGAAUUGGUCAGAAAAUACCGAUUUUGGGGCCGUGAGUGCAAACCCUGAGGAACACCAACCUCAUCCCACGCCCAGGGAAGAACCUGUGAGAGAGGAGAUGAAGAUCAGAGAAAUACCGGCACCCAUCUGCGGGGAGUGGGCGCAAGAAGGAGCAGGAAGAGGCAACACAGGAAGCAGUGGAGGAGGAAGAGGAGGCGAUGGAGGACGAGGAGGAUGGGCAAUAGGAAUUGGAGGAACAGGAGAAGGAGGAAUAGGAGGAGCAGGAGGAGCAGUAGGAGGAGGAGGAGCAGGAGGAGCAGUAGGAGGAGGAGGAGAAGGAGGAUCAGGAGGAUCAGGAGGAGGACAAGGAGAAGGAGGAGGAGGAGGAGGCAACACAGGAAACAGCGGAAGAGGAGGAAGAGGAGGUGAUGGAGGACGAGGAGGAUGUGCAAUAGGAGUUAGAGGAGCAGGACGAGGAGGAAUAGGAGGAGCAGGAGGAGCAGUAGGAGGAGGAGGAGCAGGAGGAGCAGUAGGAGGAGGAGGAAGAGGAGGAGCAGGAGGAGGAGGAGGAGGAAGAGGAGGAGCAGGAGGAGGAGGAGGAGGAAGAGGAGGAUGUUGAAUUGUAAUGGGUAAAUAAUUGUCAAUUCAUAAAUUGAUCAAUGGAUCAGUUGUAAACCGACAAAUAAAUUGUCUGAACCGCUCGAGUCAGACGCUUUCCUCGUCGUGUCAAUAUUUAU